CUCCUUAUUUUGAAAAAGGAAACCUAUUGAACAUGAACAUGUCAAGUUCCAAUUUAUUUUGCCUAUUUGACUUUGUCUUUUGAGAUUUGGUGCUCGAUUAACAUUAAAGCCAUUCCUGUCAUACAUGUAGGCUACUCUGAAAGAAAAAAUACUUAACGGCAGAAGGUACAAAUAGUGAAAAAAAAUAGUCCUGUAGUCCAACGAUGAUGCAAAGAGUCACUUGACACGGAUUGGCUGAGUUCGUAUCCAAAGCAUAUUUUAUGAAAUCUAUUGGUUGGGAAACAAUAACUAUUAUGUCUUCGGGCAGGCUCUAAUAAACUGUUUAAACACGUUUCACACCUCACCAUAGACUGCAACCGUCAAGCAGAGCACAGCUGCGUUUAAGGGGAAAAUCUUAUUCAUCUCAGAAAUGUUUUACUACCCCACAGUUUUACAUCACCGAACUGGAUGCUUUGCUACAAUAUGGUUGGCAGCCACAAAGGGCAGAUCAAUUACUCGACGGGACUACCUUAAGGUUAACGUCCAACAAACAUGUGAUGAAAUCAUGGAGUACAUAUUGCUGCAAGCCCCACCUCCUCGGCCAGGAUUGCCUCGUCCUCGUUUCUCCCUUCUCCUUUCAUCUCACCUGCAGUAUGGAGUGGUGCGGGUUUAUCACCGGCAAUGUGGCAUUUUCAUAGGUACAGGAUGUGUCACUGGUGUUAGAUGAGUAACGAG